UUCAAACGAAGAUGGCACCACUUGUUAUGUAAACAAUAGUAACUAGACUAGAUUGAUCCUAUAGUUUAUCGCGACUGUACUUUUAUGAUUCCUAGUGAAAUAAAUCCACCCCCACUAAACUUAAACUAACCUUAAAUCCCGAAGGUGCCCAAGGGGCUUUAUUGCUUGACGAUUAGGAGUGGGAGACAUUUGCUGGUGCAAAAGCUCUCCUUAAACCAUUCGAUAUCCUUACUCAAGACUAAAGCUCCCAGUAUUAUCCAUCCGUCCAUCAGACUAAUUCAGGAGCACCUGACGGAGAUCCGCUACCACGAUUUCAAUGAUGUUCUUAUAAUGAUGUGUAGUGCACUAAAUUUGAACAUGAAAGAUCGUUUUGUGGAUUUCUAUCAGAGUUCUUUGCAUAUAGUGUUGAGCUACCUGGAUCUUCGCUUUAAGACCGAAUAUCUUUCUCCGAAUCAUUCGUCCGUCGGUGCAGACUUUGCAGAAAAAAGGGUUGUCGUGAAAAUGAGAAAUUUAA